rnacentral:rRNA from 1 species
AACGAACGCUGGCGGCAGGCCUAACACAUGCAAGUCGAGCGAGACCUUCGGGUCUAGCGGCGGACGGGUGAGUAACGCGUGGGAACGUGCCCUUUUCUACGGAAUAGCCUCGGGAAACUGAGCGUAAUACCGUAUACGCCCUUUGGGGGAAAGAUUUAUCGGAGAAGGAUCGGCCCGCGUUGGAUUAGGUAGUUGGUGGGGUAAUGGCCUACCAAGCCUACGAUCCAUAGCUGGUUUGAGAGGAUGAUCAGCCACACUGGGACUGAGACACGGCCCAGACUCCUACGGGAGGCAGCAGUGGGGAAUCUUAGACAAUGGGGGCAACCCUGAUCUAGCCAUGCCGCGUAAGUGAUGAAGGCCUUAGGGUUGUAAAGCUCUUUCAGCUGGGAAGAUAAUGACGGUACCAGCAGAAGAAGCCCCGGCUAACUCCGUG